GACUUUUUAAAAUCUGAAAUAUUAGAAAUGGUGUAAAUGGUGUCUUAUUGAAAUAUUUUAGCACAACAUGUGUUGUGUGUUUUUACCGGCUUCGGUUGUUUUUCAUGGUCAUACGUCUUCUACGCCAGCACGGUUGCAGCUCAAUGGCUGCUGGAAGAGAUACCCGCCCCUCAUGGCUGAAGAAGAGGAGGCAGUCAUACUACAGACAGAAAAUAUGGGAACGGGAAAAGUUCCCUAGUUGGUGUGCGAUCCCCCUGACACAAGCAAACCACAGAGCCGUCCCAAGUUCCCACACGAUACACAACACACCCAGUACGAGGAUAGGCUUGAGGAGCUGGUCCAGGAGGUGGAGGUGCCAAAUGAUGAUGAGGAGACCACAGGAGGAGAGGUGGAAACACAGCACCGAUUGAGAACACUCACUAUGCAUUUUAUGACUGCAUGUACCGUGUCAUCUGAGGUCUCAUUUGGGUAGAAAGUCAUCACCGUGCCCAAAAAGUUGAAUGCCCGACCACCGCAGGCUGGCAGCAACAAGACCAGCAGGUAGACCCACAUGACGAAUAGAAAUCGUAAAUCUGAUAACUACAAUUGCAGAUCUGAGGACAACAAGCAAUGCAUGUGUGCCUUCGCUGUGACACAUUACUUCCUGGCAUUGAACAGAAAAAGGUCUAGGGUGUGGCCUGGCAUAACCACUUUGUGAUUCCUGCCUUAAUUAGCAUAUGCGUUUGUGCGCAUGCAUACCUGAUAAGACAACAGAUUGAUUUUCUUUUUCUUUUCAAUAGCAUUAACAUAUCUUGAAAUAUGGGAUCCAAUUGUUUAGAUUUGUUUUUACCUAAAAUAUGCUUCCUUUUGCCGAGUAAUGGCUACAGUGUGGUUGACAAACUUAUGUAGUAGUGUAAUCCACUGUGAUCCUUGUUAUUGUUUUUUAUCUUAAUGACU